rnacentral:rRNA from 1 species
GUCCUAGCCGUAAACGAUGUGGAUUAGGUGUUGGAGGUGUUGAUCCCUCCAGCGCCGACGCUAACGCAUUAAAUCCACCACCUGGGGAGUACGGUCGCAAGACUGAAACUCAAAGAAAUUGACGGGGACCCGCACAAGCGGUGGAGCAUGUGGUUUAAUUCGAGGCUACGCGAAGAACCUUACCCAGGUUUGACAUGUAGUUGACAGUCUGUGAAAGCAGAUCUUCUCGCAAGAGACAAUUACACAGGUGCUGCAUGGCUGUCGU